GACGUAGGAGGCGAGCGUUAUCCGGAUUCACUGGGCGUAAAGCGCAUGUAGGCGGAUGUCUAAGUCGUGUGUUAAAGCCCCUGGCUCAACUGGGGGAGGUCAUGCGAGACUGGAUGACUUGAGGGCAACAGAGGCACGUGGAACUCCCGGUGUAGCGGUGGAAUGCGUAGAGAUCGGGAAGAACACCCGUGGCGAAGGCGGCGUGCUGGGUUGCAACUGACGCUGAAGCGCGAAAGCUAGGGGAGCGAACGGG
rnacentral:rRNA from 1 species